UUAGAGGAAGUAAAAGUC
rnacentral:rRNA from 2 species